rnacentral:rRNA from 1 species
GACAGAGGGUGCAAACGUUGUUCGGAAUUACUGGGCGUAAAGCGUGUGUAGGCGGCUAGGUAAGUCGGAUGUGAAAGCCCCGGGCUCAACCCGGGAAGUGCACUCGAUACUGCCUAGCUUGAGUAUCGGAGAGGUUGGUGGAAUUCUCGGUGUAGAGGUGAAAUUCGUAGAUAUCGAGAGGAACAUCUGUGGCGAAGGCGGCCAACUGGACGAAUACUGACGCUGAGACACGAAAGCGUGGGGAGCAAACAGG